AGGGUUUGAUUAUGGCUCAGGAUGAACGCUGGCGGCGUGCUUAACACAUGCAAGUCGAACGGGAUCCAUCAGGCUUUGCUUGGUGGUGAGAGUGGCGAACGGGUGAGUAAUGCGUGACCGACCUGCCCCAUACACCGGAAUAGCUCCUGGAAACGGGUGGUAAUGCCGGAUGCUCCGACUCCUCGCAUGGGGUGUCGGGAAAGAUUUCAUCGGUAUGGGAUGGGGUCGCGUCCUAUCAGGUAGUCGGCGGGGUAACGGCCCACCGAGCCUACGACGGGUAGCCGGCCUGAGAGGGCGACCGGCCACAUUGGGACUGAGAUACGGCCCAG
rnacentral:rRNA from 1 species